CCCAAGUGCGAGUUAAAAAAAAAAAAAACAAAACAAAAAGGAAUUGCUUUGUUGUUGCAAUUUGCUGCUAGGCAUUCCUAUGUGUGCUAAUGAUAAGUAUUAAUUAAAUAGCUUGCUGUUGUCUUUUAAAUGCAGUUCUUUCAGGCUGUAAUUAAACACAGACACCCAGCCCUUUCUGUCUGCAUAGAAAGAGGCAGGAAGGCCUCCGAAGUGCUGCACUUCUUUCCUUGUAGCAGGAGAGAAGUGGAAAAUGAAGCAAAACCAGUUUCCACUGCAAACUCAUCACCCUGUGCAUGUCCUUCAUGUGGAGAGCAAGCAGCCAAAGGAAAUUAAAGGAAUGCGACUUUCAAGAUAGCAGCCCUGCAAUCAAACACUUUGAAGAUAAAAAGCGUUCACCCGAGUUCUGUGAUUAGUAUUUAAAGACUCCAACAAAAUAUUUGUAGGCAGAAAAACCUAACCAAGGAAUGCUUAUGUUUGGGCACUCAAUGGGGCCUGUUCAGAGGGACGGAUUCCACAGUUAUUAUUAGCAAUAAGGUUAUCUUUGGCAUCAUCUUUUUAUGCACAACACGCUAUUGGAUUCCACCCUCCCAUUUUGCGUGAGCCCUGGGGCAGAAGGCAUACAAAUUAGAGCGGGUUCAAGCCUUACAAGUGUUUUUCACGUAAUCAGGGUUGAAGUUUGGUGAGAUCUCUGGCAGUUAAAUUUAGGAUCAUUCGGAAGGGUAUUGGUGCGUGUUGGGCACCAUGGGAUGCUCAAGGGCUGGGGGGAGAAUCGUGAUGCCCAGAGGAGUUUUGGCUCCACCAGAAAGUGACAAGUGACAGAACGUGAGAAAACAGCCUCAGGUUGUAACAGGGGAAGUUUAGGGUGGAUAUUAGGAAGGAUUUCUUAAAUGAAAAGGGUGGACAGGCAUUGAAACAGCCUGCACAGGGAAGUGGUGGGGUCCCCAUCGCUAGAAGUAUUUAAGAUGUGUGGACGUGGCACUAAGGGACACGGGUUAGCGAUGGCAUUCAGUAGGUUAGAUUGAUGGUUGGACGUGGGGAUCUUGAAGGUCAUUUCCAACCUAGAUGAUUCCAUGACAACUAAACAAAAACAUUGCCAUGCACUGGGGAUUUAUGUGAUAUUCAAUGGGUGACAAAUCAGGCACGGGAAGAGACGAUCCUAUGCAGGAUGUGGCUCCAAGCAUCUCCUUGCUGUGUGAUAUUGCACAGGUCUGGACAUGGCUCUGGGCAUGGACAAGUCUGGACGCAACACAAUGAGAAGCCUGGAAGCAUAUUUUGGGGAUCUAGUGCUCCACUAGGAAAAGAAGCUCUGUGCCAGUCUGGAUGUGCCCAAGGGGUCCCACCUGUCCCCAGAAUUGGGCUGGAGGGGAUGACUUGAUUCAGGCAUGAGAGCAGAGAGCAGCUGCUGCUUGAUUUAAUUGCCUUUCUAGUUCUUGGGGAUCUGCUUAAAGCUGAAGGAGAAACUUGACUUCCUUGUUGCAGGAUGAGGCAGAGCCCUGGCAGGAUGAAGCCUUGGACAAAACCAUAGAAGAGAAAAAUAAAUAAAUCUUGGCUACCUGCAAGUUCUGUGGCUGUAGUCCAGUGUCCGUUGAGUGGGAACCUUUCACUGACUUUGCCAUGCUGGGUCAAACCUCAGGAAUGUACCUCCUGCUUUGAUGGUUUCACUAUUGGUAGGUCAGCUU
ensembl:lncRNA